AGUGAAAUAUCGAAAGUCAUUUCACGACGUAAUGCACCGAGUUUUUAAUAAUAUGAUUAUGUAUCAUCACAUAGCUAUUGAAUUGAUAAUUAUAUCUUCCAGUUUCAUUUCAGAACAAUCAUUUAAUUUAAUUUAACUUAAAAAUAAUAAUACAGUAACAUACGUAUAAAGCUCAUUCUGGUUUUGCGCGUGUUACCCGGAGAUCUAGAGCCAUAUACCAUGGGCCGAAGGUCCCAAGGAAAAGAAACGGAAAGGCGAAAUCAUCUCGCCGUCGGUAUAUUAUUGGUGGCUGCUAUUGUCGGCAGCUGGAGGAAUCCAAAAUUCUUCCACGUUGUUGUUUUGUCUUGUGGUAAGAAAUUGCCAAAUAAAGAUCAUCGUGCAAACAGGUUCUGUCU